CCCCUCUCAGUCUGUCAGCCAGACAUCAACACAGCAACAGCAUGCUACAGCAGAGGAGCUUCAGAAAGGCCGGCGCCUGUGACACCCCAGGGUAAAAAGUCAAACAAGGGUAUUCCUCUACUUGUAAAAGGAUGGUGGGUCGGCAACGGC